rnacentral:rRNA from 1 species
CGAGGAAUAUUGGGCAAUGGGGGAAACCCUGACCCAGCAACGCCGCGUGAAGGAAGAAGGCCUUCGGGUUGUAAACUUCUGUGACAGGGGACGAACGAAAUGACGGUACCCUGAGAGGAAGCCCCGGCAAACUACGUGCCAGCAGCCGCGGUAAUACGUAGGGGGCGAGCGUUGUCCGGAAUCACUGGGCGCAAAGGGCGCGUAGGCGGCGUUUUAAGUCGCAUGUGAAAUCCCCGGGCUUAACCCGGGAUGUGCAUGCGAAACUGAAAUGCUCGAGUGCGGUAAAGGAAAGUGGAAUUCCUAGUGGAGCGGUGGAAUGCG